rnacentral:rRNA from 1 species
AGCACGGGGGCAACCCUGGUGGCGAGUGGCGAACGGGUGAGUAAUACAUCGGAACGUGUCCUGUAGUGGGGGAUAGCCCGGCGAAAGCCGGAUUAAUACCGCAUACGCUCUACGGAGGAAAGGGGGGGAUCUUAGGACCUCCCGCUACAGGGGCGGCCGAUGGCAGAUUAGCUAGUUGGUGGGGUAAAGGCCUACCAAGGCGACGAUCUGUAGCUGGUCUGAGAGGACGACCAGCCACACUGGGACUGAGACACGGCCCAGACUCCUACGGGAGGCAGCAGUGGGGAAUUUUGGACAAUGGGCGAAAGCCUGAUCCAGCAAUGCCGCGUGUGUGAAGAAGGCCUUCGGGUUGUAAAGCACUUUUGUCCGGAAAGAAAACCUCCGCCCUAAUAUGGUGGGGGGAUGACGGUACCGGAAGAAUAAGCACCGGCUAACUACGUGCCAGCAGCCGCGGUAAUACGUAGGGUGCAAGCGUUAAUCGGAAUUACUGGGCGUAAAGCGUGCGCAGGCGGUCCGCUAAGACAGAUGUGAAAUCCCCGGGCUUAACCUGGGAACUGCAUUUGUGACUGGCGGGCUAGAGUAUGGCAGAGGGGGGUAG